rnacentral:lncRNA from 1 species
GGCCACCAGCAGUGACACCAUGUGACCGGCACGGCUCACUGACACGCAGCUUUGGUUAAAGAGCGGGCGCACAGGAGGGGAGGAGACCGCGCGCGGGACGGGGAGGAAUGGCCUGUCCGCGUUAAACCAUCACAAGCCAUGGUUGCGGAAGGGCCACGCGUCCCCCAGUAGGAGAAUGACUCCGAUUCGUGACCCUCAGCGCCGGUGCAUGUCGAUGUAAGUGCGAGGCCGGCGAGCAGAGUGUGAGUGGGGGUUGGUGGUGAGGGGAGAUUCUGAUGCAAUCGGCCCGGAAAGGAGGAGAGCUAGGCGAGCGCGGACUGGGGCAGCCACGCCACUCCGCCUGAAGGUCGCCAGGAGCCUCCGCCCUUCACCUUCCUCGGAAAUCCGCCAGGCCACGCCAAGCUCCCUGCCCAGCCCUCACUGGCGGGGGCCACAUUUUCCCGGCCUCCGCAGCCAGACCUUGACACAAAGGACAUCAAACUGCCGAGGGUAAAAACCCCGGAAGGGCGGACACCUCCACAUCGCCUUUUGCCACCUUUCCCUUUAUUUCCGGAGAUAUUUAUUGAGUGUCUACUGUGUGCCAGGCACUAUAUCUAUGUGCAUAGAAAAACCCUGGAAGGCCAUACAACAAUAUAUAUAGAGUGAUCGUCUCUGCUUGCUGAGCUAACAGGUG